rnacentral:rRNA from 1 species
GUGAGGAAUAUUGAUCAAUGGGCGAGAGCCUGAACCAGCCAAGUCGCGUGAAGGAAGAAGGAUCUAUGGUUCGUAAACUUCUUUUGCAGGGGAAUAAAGUGCAGGACGUGUCCUGUUUUGUAUGUACCCUGAGAAUAAGGAUCGGCUAACUCCGUGCCAGCAGCCGCGGUAAUACGGAGGAUCCGAGCGUUAUCCGGAUUUAUUGGGUUUAAAGGGUGCGUAGGUGGUUUGAUAAGUCAGCGGUGAAAGUUUGCAGCUUAACUGUAAAAAUGCCGUUGAAGCUGUCGGACUUGAGUGUAAAUGAGGUAGGCGGAAUGCGUGGUGUAGCGGUGAAAUGCAUAGAUAUCACGCAGAACUCCGAUUGCGAAGGCAGCUUACUAAGCUACAACUGACACUGAAGCACGAAAGCGUGGGGAUCAAACAGGAUUAGAAACCCUGGUAGUCC